GAGUUCGAUCAUGGCCUGCAUUGAACGCUGGCGGGAUGCUUUACACAUGCAAGUCGAACGGCAGCACGGACUUCGGUCUGGUGGCGAGUGGCGAACGGGUGAGUAAUGUAUCGGAACGUGCCUAGUAGCGGGGGAUAACUACGCGAAAGCGUAGCUAAUACCGCAUACGCCCUUCGGGGGAAAGCGGGGGACCUUCGGGCCUCGCACUAUUAGAGCGGCCGAUAUCGGAUUAGUUAGUUGGUGGGGUAACGGCUCACCAAGGUGACGAUCCGUAGCUGGUUUGAGAGGACGACCAGCCACACUGGGACUGAGACACGGCUCCAGACUCCUACGGGAGGCAGCAGUGGGGAAUUUUGGACAAUGGGGGAAACCCUGAUCCAGCCAUCCCGCGUGUGCGAUGAAGGCCUUCGGGUUGUAAAGCACUUUUGGCAGGAAAGAAACGGCACGGGAUAAUACCCCGGUGCAACUGACGGUACCUGCAGAAUAAGCACCGGCUAACUACGUGCCAGCAGCCGCGGUAAUACGUAGGGUGCAAGCGUUAAUCGGAAUUACUGGGCGCAAGCGUGCGCAGGCGGUUCGGAAAGAAAGAUGUGUGAAAUCCCAGAGUUUAACUUGGAACUGCAUUUUUAACUACCGAGCUAGAGUGUGUCAGAGGGAGGUGGAAUUCCGCGUGUAGCAGUGAAAUGCGUAGAUAUGCGGAGGAACACCGAUGGCGAAGGCAGCCUCCUGGAUAACACUGACGCUCAUGCAAUGAAAGCGUGGGGGAGCAACAGGAUUAGAUACCCUGGUAGUCCACGCCCUAAACGAUGUCAACUAGCUGUUGGGGCCUUCGGCCUGGUAGCGCAGCUAACGCGUAGUUGGACCGCCUGGGGAGUACAGUCGCAAGAUUAAAACUCAAAGGAAUUGACGGGGACCCGCACAAGCGGUGGAUGAUGUGGAUUAAUUCGAUGCAACGCGAAAACCUUACCUACCCUUGACAUGUCUGGAAUCCCGAAGAGAUUUGGGAGUGCUCGCAAGAGAACCGGAACACAGGUGCUGCAUGGCUGUCGUCAGCUCGUGUCGUGAGAUGAUGGGUUAAGUCCCGCAACGAGCGCAACCCUUGUCAUUAGUUGCUACGAAAGGGCACCUAAUGAGACUGCCGGUGACAAACCGGAGGAAGGUGGGGAUGACGUCAAGUCCUCAUGGCCCUGUAUGGGUAGGGCUUCACACGUCAUACAAUGGUCGGGACAGAGGGUCGCCAACCCGCGAGGGGGAGCCAAUCCCAGAAACCCGAUCGUAGUCCGGAUCGCAGUCUGCAACUCGACUGCGUGAAGUCGGAAUCGCUAGUAAUCGCGGAUCAGCAUGUCGCGGUAGUCACGUUCCCGGGUCUUGUACACACCGCCCGUCACACCAUGGGAGUGGGUUUUACCAGAAGUAGUUAGCCUAACCGUAAGGAGGGCGAUUACCACGGUAGGGAUUCAUGACUGGGGUAGUCGUAACAAGGUAG
rnacentral:rRNA from 1 species